AAUUUUGGACAAUGGGGGAAACCCUGAUCCAGCCAUCCCGCGUGUGUGAUGAAGGCCUUCGGGUUGUAAAGCACUUUUGACAGGGAAGAAAUAGCAGGGGCUAAUAUCCUCCGUGCAUGACGGUACAUGUAGAAUAAGCACCGGCUAACUACGUUCCAGCAGCCGCGGUAAUACGUAGGGUGCAAGCUUUACUCGGAAUUACUGGGCGUAAAAGGUACGCAGGCGGCUAGGAAAGAAAGAUGUGAAAUCCCAGGGCUCAACCUUGGAACUGCAUUUUUAACUACCUAGCUAGAGUAUGUCAGAGGGGGGUAGAAUUCCACGUGUAGCAGUGAAAUGCGCAGAGAUGUGGAGGAACACCGAUGGCGAAGGCAGCCCCCUGGGAUAAUACUGACGCUCAGGUACGAAAGCGUGGGGAGCAAACA
rnacentral:rRNA from 1 species